GGCAAAUAAUCGGUCUAGUUUUUACUUGUAGCAAGAAAACAAAAUCGUUGACAACAUUUUUUGUCUUUAUUCUUCGUGAAACAUAUUAUUAAACCUAGGUUCCUACAAUUAUUUCAUAAUCCAAUCUCAUAAACUUUUUUAAGCACACUCACAUAUGUGUUUUUUCAUGAACAAUGUAGCCAAAUUUAGGUAAGCUUCAACGACUCAUAGCUUGAAUAUGAAGAUAUGAUUUGUACCUCCCCUCACGCAUUCACGAUGUCCUCAAUCAGAACCGAUCCCC
rnacentral:lncRNA from 1 species